ACAAAUCUCAAAUGUACCAUUGCAGUGUUUAUUACAUAGCGAAACAUAAUAAAUCACAUAGUCUCAUACAAAAAUGAUAGCAUAGAGUAAACAACGCUCUCGACGGAAGCUCCACAUAGGGACACUGUUGACUGGUUGACUCCAAACCUAGUACUCAUAACGGUAGUCCUCAUUCCAGUCAUCUUCAUUAUCAUAUCCUGAGGUGUUGGGAAAUUGCAAGAGUGAGCACAUAUCGUACUCAACAAGUAUAACCAGGGGUUCAUGAGGCUCAAAUAGCUGGCACUGGUUUGACUGCAUUUAGCUUUUAAUGGUGGAUAGCAUAUUCAUAGUUAAAUAACAAUUGUCAAGGUAGCAUAUAUAAUCCAUUUAUCCCAUGAUCAAGUGUAAGCAUAAUUAAUCUCAUAGCAUAAACGAUAAUCAAAUGAACAUAACAACUUAACAAGCUCAUCGUCGGCGCAGCAAGAACCCCCAAGGCCGCUCAUAACCGUGAGCACGGCUAGUAUACCAGUUUUACACUCUGCAGAGGUUGUACAUCUUUACCCAUGAGUCAUGAUUUACCCUUUCGCCCGAGGCCCGUCGACCUCUUAACCCACUACCAAGGAAGGUCGGCAGGGAUCACUAUGAAGCCUUUCAAAAGUUCGUCUAACAUGUUAGGGCCGCAAGGUUUCCUUUGCGAGCAGAUAUAGAUACCCCCCUUCCGAAUGGCACAAUGACGCGCAGCCUAUACACAUAGGGACAGGGGCUCGCACUAUACCCGUGUCGGUUCAGCCCCUCUAGCGCCCUUUCGGGUAACCGCUAACAAGCUAGAAAAGGUCUCCAUACUGAGCUAAAGCCAGAGCCAUUAUAGCCCUCAUGGUUGCACUGUUGUCCCAGUGAUCACUUACAGACAAGAUCUCAUAUAGUUAUUUGUCAUUCUUUUAUGUUCAUUGCAUAUCUAUUAAUCAUCUUACAAGAUCAUGGAUUAUAUCAAGCACUAGCACAUCUACACCAAAUGCAUAUCAAGUAGGUAACAAGGAAUCCAGGUAACAAUCAUCUAUGAUUUUGCUAAGGUCGACAAGGUAAAAGCAUGCAUAUGAUAUAUAUGUGUAUUUAUAAGUGAAUAGGUAACAAGGAUGAUCCCAAGUUAUACUUGCCUUGACCAAAGCUCUCCUGA
rnacentral:lncRNA from 1 species